rnacentral:rRNA from 1 species
UACGUAGGCAGCGAGCGUUGUUCGGAGUUACUGGGCGUAAAGGGUGUGUAGGCGGUUGUUUAAGUUUGGUGUGAAAUCUCCCGGCUCAACUGGGAGGGUGCGCCGAAUACUGAAUGACUAGAGUGCGGGAGAGGUGAGUGGAAUUCCUGGUGUAGCGGUGAAAUGCGUAGAUAUCAGGAGGAGCACCGGUGGUGUAGACGGCUCACUGGACCGUAACUGACGCUGAGACACGAAAGCGUGGGUAGCAAACAGG